rnacentral:rRNA from 1 species
UGGGGAAUAUUGGACAAUGGGCGCAAGCCUGAUCCAGCCAUGCCGCGUGAGUGAUGAAGGCCUUAGGGUUGUAAAGCUCUUUCGCACGCGACGAUGAUGACGGUAGCGUGAGAAGAAGCCCCGGCUAACUUCGUGCCAGCAGCCGCGGUAAUACGAAGGGGGCUAGCGUUGUUCGGAAUUACUGGGCGUAAAGGGCGCGUAGGCGGCCUGUUUAGUCAGAAGUGAAAGCCCCGGGCUCAACCUGGGAAUAGCUUUUGAUACUGGCAGGCUUGAGUUCCGGAGAGGAUGGUGGAAUUCCCAGUGUAGAGGUGAAAUUCGUAGAUAUUGGGAAGAACACCGGUGGCGAAGGCGGCCAUCUGGACGGACACUGACGCUGAGGCGCGAAAGCGUGGGGAGCAAACA